GUCCUCCUGUCUCUCUCUUUCUCUGCUUCUCCUUCCGUCUUUCGUCUUCUUCGCGUUUUGAUCUGAAAUCAAUUUUUUUUUUCUUCCUCCAAUCUCGAUUUCUCUCUUCUCUUUGUCGUUGCGUAAGGACAACCGUAUCUAAGGAUCGAUCUAGGGUUUCCCCAGCAAUGUCGCGGCGAGGCGGUGGACCCGUGAUGGUGUUGAAUGUGGCGGAGAAGCUGUCGGUGGCGAAAUCCUGCAGGUGGCACUUCUGCAAUCUCCUCAAUCACCUCUCAUUGAAGCCGCAUUGAUGGAGAGGAUCUGUACCAAGCUCCGGUCAUGAAACACGUCCCCGAGGAUAAGAAAAAUAUCAAGAAGACAUAGGAGGAGGAACUAGGAGAAGCGAUUGGCUAGUGCUGUGGCUUGAUUGUGAUAGGGAAGGUGAAAACACUGCAUUUGAAGUUGUGGAUGUUUGUAGAGCUGUGGAUGUUUGUAGAGCUGUGAAACAUAAUCUGUAUAUACGGAGGUCUCAUUUCUCUGCGUUAAUUGACAGGUUAGAGUAGGGGUGGGCACUUUACCCGAUAUCCGAAGUGGCACCCAAACCCGAUCCGAAAAACCCGAACCGAAAUUCGAACCGAAGUAGCAGAAUAUCCGAACAGCAGUUCAAAAUCUCAGAGAGAAGAGCCUAGUCAGUUGUUUGUUCGGGUUGUUGAUGCUAGACAAGAGAUAGACCUACGCAUUGGUGCUUCUUUCACUAGAUUUCAGACUAUGCUUCUGAAAGAUAGGUUCUCCAUUGACUCCACGGGCGAUAAAGAGAGGAGUCGUGUAAUAAGUUAUGGUCCCUGUCAGUUUCCUACACUAGGAUUAAUUGUAGAGAGAUACUGGGAGAUCCAGGCACAUGAACCAGAAGAGUUUUGGACAAUCAACUGUUCUCACGAAUCAGAAGAUGGCCUUGCCACCAAAGCAGAGAACAAGUAUGUCAUGUUUUACAAUCUUUUUAUAGGUUUCUUUAGUUUGAUCUGCUAAACAAUUGAAACAUGGAACAAAGUUGAGAAGAAGAUGUCUGUUAAAAAUUGCUAAUUAUAAAUUUCUAUUUAAAUUUUAU